rnacentral:pre_miRNA from 1 species
AGUGGGAUAGCUGGGUCAUAUGGUGGUUUCAUUUCAAGAUUUACAAAGAAUCUCCACACUGUUUUCUAGAUUGGCUGCACCAAUUUGCAGUCCCACCAGCAAU